UUAAAGGGCUGUGUGAUCACGGAUGCUCCUUAUAUAUGUAGUGCGAACAAUACAGAAUGUGUUUUUAUGGCGGCCAGUAUUGCUGGAUGUGCGUUGAACUCUCAGGUAGUGAAUUUGACUUUGCAGGAGCAAGAGCCCUGGGAGAGGAAAGAUAGGCCACUGCAGGAGAUUUUUACCAUUCUCACACACCCACCACUCUCAAAUGCUACAGUGUCCAGGGCCGUUUCUGACAUUAAUAUGCCAAUUACAUAGUUAUUACAAUGUAGUAAUGCUGUAGUUACUGUUUGUAAUGAAUUUGCUGAAAUUGCAGUGGCUGUGUAAUUUGAACUUAUUUCAAUGAAGAAGAAGAUGCUUCAGGCUGAAUGUGAGCCACAUUGCUGCAUGCAGUCUGCAGCACUGAAUGACUCCAGUUUCGUAUCAGAAAGAGAGAGAGAGA